rnacentral:rRNA from 1 species
CGUACACUCCUACGGGAGGCAGCAGUGAGGAAUAUUGGACAAUGGGUGGAAGCCUGAUCCAGCCAUCCCGCGUGCAGGAAGACGGCCCUAUGGGUUGUAAACUGCUUUUAUCUGGGGAUAAACCUACUUACGUGUAAGUAGCUGAAGGUACCAGAAGAAUAAGCACCGGCUAACUCCGUGCCAGCAGCCGCGGUAAUACGGAGGGUGCAAGCGUUAUCCGGAUUUAUUGGGUUUAAAGGGUCCGUAGGCGGACUGAUAAGUCAGUGGUGAAAUCCGACAGCUUAACUGUCGAACUGCCAUUGAUACUGUUAGUCUUGAGUAAGGUUGAAGUGGCUGGAAUAAGUAGUGUAGCGGUGAAAUGCAUAGAUAUUACUUAGAACACCAAUUGCGAAGGCAGGUCACUAAGUCUUAACUGACGCUGAUGGACGAAAGCGUGGGGAGCGAACAGGAUUAGAAACCCGAGUAGUCCC